rnacentral:misc_RNA from 1 species
UUCUUUUUUUUUUGCCUUUUAUUAUGAAAAUAAAUUUCAAACUAAUUCAUUAUAGUGUUGCAAUGAUGUGCUGCAUCAUGUGUCCAUUCCUUUUUUUUUUUAAAUGUAUUUAUAGUUCUGUCAUAAUAGUUACUGUUGCUUAGCCUGUUAGAGGGCUUCAUAGUUGUGGUUUUCAGCUCCUAUGUAAUUAAAAAAACACAUGUAUUUCACCAUACAUGAAAAGGAUAGGUCAUCUGAAGUUUUUGUGCUGCUGUCUUGUAUAUUCUUAUUCUUUCCAUUUGCUUAGUAUUCUAGUAGCUUUUUAUGUAUUAAAAGUGCAAGGCGGACUAAGGCGCCAAGAGGUCUUGAGCCUAGGUGCAAGGUGUAGGCACGCAACGCAACUGAGUGACAUAAGGCUCAAAAUAUUUUUUUUUAAUAAAAAAAAAUCAAUAUCACUUAAUUACAUUACAUAUUUAAGAAAAAAAAUUACAGAAAUUCUAUCUAAACAACUUGAAAAUUUUAACAAUUUCCAUAGCAAAAAUCUGAAGUAAACAAAUUAAUCACCAAGAAAAAUUGAUUAUACAACAAAUUAUUCACUUUGAAUGAAUUAAACAUGCCCAAUUAAAAAAAAUUAAUAUAUAUCAAGAAAUUAAAGAGAGGGUCUUUUAUGAAUUACCUUCUUUUCUUUUUAAUUU